rnacentral:rRNA from 1 species
GUCCACGCCCUAAACGAUGAAUACUCGGUGUCGGGUCGCAAGAUUCGGCGCCUAAGCAAACGCAUUAAGUAUUCCACCUGGGAAGUACGAUCGCAAGGUUGAAACUCAAAGGAAUUGACGGGGGCCCGCACAAGCAGUGGAGCAUGUGGUUUAAUUCGAUGCAACGCGAAGAACCUUACCUGGGCUUGAAAGGCAAGAUUUCAGUCCCUGAAAGGGGAUUACCCGCAAGGGGUCUUGUACAGGUGCUGCAUGGCUGUCGU